rnacentral:rRNA from 1 species
UNGGNNCGNNNGGGGAGUCUACACGUGCGUGUCGAGCGGUAACACAGAGAGCUUGCUCUCGGGUGACGAGCGGCGGACGGGUGAGUAAUGUCUGGGAAACUGCCUGAUGGAGGGGGAUAACUACUGGAAACGGUAGCUAAUACCGCAUAACGUCGCAAGACCAAAGUGGGGGACCUUCGGGCCUCAUGCCAUCAGAUGUGCCCAGAUGGGAUUAGCUAGUAGGUGGGGUAAUGGCUCACCUAGGCGACGAUCCCUAGCUGGUCUGAGAGGAUGACCAGCCACACUGGAACUGAGACACGGUCCAGACUCCUACGGGAGGCAGCAGUGGGGAAUAUUGCACAAUGGGCGCAAGCCUGAUGCAGCCAUGCCGCGUGUAUGAAGAAGGCCUUCGGGUUGUAAAGUACUUUCACCGAGGAGGAAGGCAUUAAGGUUAAUAACCUUGGCGAUUGACGUUACUCGCACAAGAAGCACCGGCUAACUCCGUGCCAGCAGCCGCGGUAAUACGGAGGGUGCAAGCGUUAAUCGGAAUUACUGGGCUUAAAGCGCACCCACGCCGUC